UACGUAGGGCGCAAGCGUUAUCCGGAAUUAUUGGGCGUAAAGCGCUCGUAGGCGGUUUGUCGCGUCUGCUGUGAAAGACCGGGGCUCAACUCCGGUUCUGCAGUGGGUACGGGCAGACUAGAGUGCUGUAGGGGAGACUGGAAUUCCUGGUGUAGCGGUGAAAUGCGCAGAUAUCAGGAGGAACACCGAUGGCGAAGGCAGGUCUCUGGGCAUUAACUGACGCUGAGGAGCGAAAGCAUGGGGAGCGAACAGG
rnacentral:rRNA from 1 species